UUCCCUUUUCCGUUUGAGCGGUCGAGUCGCAAAUUCCCCAUCCAAAACACCACUCUCCUCCUCCAGUCCAGUAAGCCCCUCUUCUCCUCCCUUCCCCCAAUUCCAUCCACUGCUCUCAAAUCUCAAUACUACUACUGUUCUAUCGAAUCGAUUCGAAAUCCACACCGCUACUACGGCUAAUUACGCUCUCUUUCUUCUUCUCUCGCAUCAUGCCGCGAUUUUCGAAUUUCCCUAGAUUUUUUCCGUCUCAAAGGGUUAGGGUUUUGGGAUGGCGGAUCGGCAGCAGUCGGAGGAGCCGGAGGAGCAGGUGGACCUGGAGGGGGACGACGACAUCAUGGACGACGACGACGGGUACCGCCGCCACCGCCGCGAGGACUCCGACGACCCGGAGGAGGAGGAUCCCGAUGAGAGGCAGGGGGAGGGCGACGGCCGUCGGGAAGACGCGGAAGGGCCGGGGGGUGCGGGUGGGGAUCCCGCCGCGGGUGGCGAAGGAGGCGCCGAUGUGAUGGACAAGGUUGGCGGCGAUGCCGGGCCCGAGGACGAGGAGGAGAAGAGGAAAUGGGACGAGUUGCUCGCUCUGCCGCCUCAGGGCUCGGAGGUGUUCAUCGGUGGUCUCCCACGUGACACCACCGAGGAUGACCUCCAUGAGCUAUGCGAGGCGUUUGGCGAAAUUUCUGAGGUGAGGUUGAUGAAGGAUAAAGAGACGAAGGAGAACAAAGGAUUCGCAUUUGUCACCUUCACCGGCAAGGAUGGGGCUCAGCGUGCUAUUGAGGAUCUGCAUGACAAAGAACACAAGGGGAGGACACUGCGGUGCUCAUUGUCACAGGCAAAGCACAGGCUAUUUGUUGGCAAUGUACCCAAGGGGUUGAGUGAGGACGAGCUGAGAAACAUAAUCCAGGGGAAGGGCCCAGGUGUUGUGAACAUUGAGAUGUUCAAGGAUUUACAUGAUCCAAGCCGUAACCGUGGGUUCCUCUUUGUUGAGUAUUAUAACCAUGCUUGUGCAGACUAUGCCAAGCAGAAAUUGUCAGCACCAAACUUUAAGGUUGAUGGUAGCCAGUUGACCGUCAGCUGGGCUGAACCUAAGGGUUCAUCAUCAUCAGAUUCUUCUUCUGCAGCUGCCCAGGUGAAGACUAUAUAUGUGAAGAACUUACCAGAGAAUGCUUCUAAAGAGAAGAUUAAGGAGAUCUUUGAAAUUCAUGGAGAGGUCACAAAAGUCGUUUUACCGCCUGCUAAGGCUGGGAAUAAGAGAGAUUUUGGGUUUGUUCAUUUUGCUGAAAGAUCAAGUGCAUUGAAGGCAGUUAAAGGAAGCGAAAAGUAUGAAAUUGAUGGGCAAGUGCUGGAAGUAUCCAUGGCCAAGCCAUUGGGAGACAAGAAGCCUGAUCACUCGUUCAAGCCUGGAGGAGCUCCAAAUUUUCCUCUUCCUCCUUAUGGUGGCUACAUGGGAGAUCCAUAUGGUGCUUAUGGUGGUGGUGGUCCUGGAUUCAACCAGGUAAACCAAACUAAACCAAGUGGUGCUUAUGGUAGGGUUGGUCCUAGUAUACCUAAAUACCAAACACAUUCUGCGAGAAAAUCCACAUAUAAAUAGGUAUAAUACAUAUGUAUAAUCUUGUUGGGUCAAAUGCUUCGUUCUCUGGCUCUUUUUGUCCAUCCACUAAACCCUCAGUCCACAAAAUGACCCAUUCUUGAGCAUCGCCACUUCAGCUACAGUCUGCCUAUAAGGCCCAGUGGCCCACAAUGCCCAACACCAAACCCUAGUUAACCAAUAUCCAGCAUCUCUAUUCCUCAAUUCCCCAUUUCCAGCUACCCAGCUGGCAGCAUGGGUGCACGGUCACCCAGGCAUGGCAUGGUUACUGCGGUCCCAAGUGCCAAAGCUGACAGGUGCCCAGGGUGGCAGAACGUCGCAUUUGCCAGGAGGAGCAGCUGAGCAAGUAGUGUGCCUGUUGCGCACUAGUUGAUCUCUGGAUCCUGUACAAGGACAUGCAGGUAGAUGGAGGAGCUAGCAUCCUAUGAUAUAUGGUAGAGGACCAGCACCAGCUGGAAUGAGGAUGGUACCAAUGGUGCUCCCUGACGGUCGUCUGGGAUAUGUUCUGCAACAACCAGGUGGAAUCCCUCCUCCGCCCCCACCGCGUCGGGGUGACCGGAGGGAUGGUGGCAGCAGAGGUGGCGAAGGGAGUCAUGGCCGGCGAUAUCGCCCUUACUAGCUUUUUCGUUCCCUUGGUCCUGCCGCCAUCCAGCCAUCACGCAAUGUGAUGGAUUUCUUAACCUAAAGAAACAAGAUAGAAGCUUGUAACCCUGUUCCAGCAUAACACCUGCAAUUGCGCAAGACAUGUACCGUCUUCUUUUUUCAGUUAUAUUUAUCUGUCAUGCAUGUGGUGCUUGUGACUUGAAAACAGUGUCUUGAAGCUUUGUAUCUCGCGGUGGCGUCUGUAGUGGUAAACCGAUGGAAUUGGAAAAUUAUCUGCAGACAUACAGUUGGACCUGUCUACCUCUUUACAUUUUUUUCCCCAA